AGAACGAACGCUGGCGGCAGGCUUAACACAUGCAAGUCGAACGCCUGACCUUCGGGUUGGGAGUGGCAGACGGGUGAGUAACGCGUGGGAACCUACCUGGUGGUCUGGAAUAACUCGGGGAAACGCGAGCUAAUACCGGAUACGCCCUGGCUUUAGGGUCAGGGGAAAGAUUCAUCGCCAUUGGAUGGGCCCGCGUCGGAUUAGCUAGUUGGUGUGGUAACGGCGCACCAAGGCGACGAUCCGUAGCUGGUCUGAGAGGAUGAUCAGCCACACUGGGACUGAGACACGGCCCAGACUCCUACGGGAGGCAGCAGUGGGGAAUAUUGGACAAUGGGCGCAAGCCUGAUCCAGCCAUGCCGCGUGAGUGAAGAAGGCCUUAGGGUUGUAAAUCUCUUUCGGCGGGAAGAUAAUGACGGUACCCGCAGAAGAAGCCCCGGCUAACUCCGUGCCAGCAGCCGC
rnacentral:rRNA from 1 species